rnacentral:rRNA from 1 species
GUUGAUCCUGCCGGAGGUUACUGCUAUCGGUGUUUGACUAAGCCAUGCGAGUCAAAUGUUCUUCGUGAACAUGGCGUAAUGCUCAGUAACACGUGGAUAACCUGCCCUUAGGUCCGGCAUAAUCUCGGGAAACUGAGGAUAAUUCCGGAUAGCUCUUUUUGGCCGGAAAUGCAUUAAGAGUAAAAGUAUCUCGCCUAAGGAUGGGUCUGCGGCCUAUCAGGUAGUAGAGGGUGUAACGCACCUUCCAGCCGACAACGGGUACGGGUUGUGAGAGCAAGAGCCCGGAGAUGGAUUCUGAGACAUGAAUCCAGGCCCUACGGGGCGCAGCAGGCGCGAAAACUUUACAAUGCAGGAAACUGUGAUAAGGAAACACCGAGUGCCCGCAUCUAAUGCGGGCUGUCCGCGUACCCAAAUCGUACGCGUCAGCAAGGACCGGGCAAUACCGGUGCCAGCCGCCGCGGUAAUACCGGUGGUCCGAGUGGUAGCCGCUUUUAUUUGGUCUAAAGGGUCCGUAGCCGGUCCGGUCAGUCCAUUGGUAAAUCCGCGCGCUCAACACGCGGUCUUCAGUGGAUACUUCCGGACUUGGGACCGGGAGAGGUAAGAGGUACUAUAGGGGUAGGAGCGAAAUCCUGUAAUCCUUAUGAGACCACCUGUGGCGAAGGCGUCUUACCGGAACGGGUCCGACGGUGAGGGACGAAAGCUGGGGGCACGAACCGGAUUAGAUACCCGGGUAGUCCGAGCCGUAAACUAUGCCCGCUGGGUGUCAGGCAUGGCAUGACUGUGUCCGGUGCCGUAGAGAAGUCGUGAAGCGGGCCACCUGGGAAGUACGGCCGCAAGGCUGAAACUUAAAGGAAUUGGCGGGGGAGCACUACAACGGGUGGAGCCUGCGGUUUAAUUGGACUCAACGCCGGAAAACUCACCAGGGGAGACAGCAAUAUGUAGGUCAGGCUGAAGGUCUUACCUGAAUCGCUGAGAGGAGGUGCAUGGUCGUCGCCAGUUCGUACUGUGAAGCAUCCUGUUAAGUCAGGCAACGAGCGAGACCCCU